UACGUAGGGUGCGAGCGUUAAUCGGAAUUACUGGGCGUAAAGCGUGCGCAGGCGGUUUGUUAAGACAGAUGUGAAAUCCCCGGGCUUAACCUGGGAACUGCAUUUGUGACUGGCAAGCUAGAGUAUGGCAGAGGGGGGUAGAAUUCCACGUGUAGCAGUGAAAUGCGUAGAGAUGUGGAGGAAUACCGAUGGCGAAGGCAGCCCCCUGGGUCAAGACUGACGCUCAUGCACGAAAGCGUGGGGAGCAAACAGG
rnacentral:rRNA from 1 species